rnacentral:rRNA from 1 species
UACAGAGGCCCCAAGCGUUGUUCGGAUUCACUGGGCGUAAAGGGUGCGUAGGCGGCUUGGAAAGUUUGAUGUGAAAGCUCAGGGCUUAACCCUGAAAUGGCAUUGAAUACUAUCGAGCUGGAGGUUUGGAGGGGGGACUGGAAUUCUCGGUGUAGCAGUGAAAUGCGUAGAUAUCGAGAGGAACACCAGUGGCGAAGGCGACUUGCUGGAUCUUUGCUGACGCUGAGACGCGAAAGCGUGGGGAGCAAACAGG